UGCGCAGGCGGAACAUUAAGUCAGUGGUGAAAGCCUACAGCUCAACUGUAGAAUUGCCAUUGAUACUGAUGUUCUUGAGUUCAGUUGAAGUGGGCGGAAUGUGUUGUGUAGCGGUGAAAUGCUUAGAUAUGACACAGAACUCCGAUCGCGAAGGCAGCUCACUAAGCUGAUACUGACGCUGAGGCACGAAAGCGUGGGGAGCAAACAGGAUUAGAUACCCUGGUAGUCC
rnacentral:rRNA from 1 species